rnacentral:rRNA from 1 species
GUAGGUGACCUGCGGAAGGAUCAUUACUGAGUGAGGGCCCCUCGGGGUCCAACCUCCCACCCGUGUUUAACGUACCUUGUUGCUUCGGCGGGCCCGCCUCACGGCCGCCGGGGGGCAUCCGCCCCCGGGCCCGCGCCCGCCGAAGCCACCUGUGAACGCUGUCUGAAGUAUGCAGUCUGAGACAAUUAUUAAAUUAAUUAAAACUUUCAACAACGGAUCUCUUGGUUCCGGCAUCGAUGAAGAACGCAGCGAAAUGCGAUAACUAAUGUGAAUUGCAGAAUUCAGUGAAUCAUCGAGUCUUUGAACGCACAUUGCGCCCUCUGGUAUUCCGGAGGGCAUGCCUGUCCGAGCGUCAUUGCUGCCCUCCAGCCCGGCUGGUGUGUUGGGCCCCGCCCCCCUUCCCGGGGGGGCGGGCCCGAAAGGCAGCGGCGGCACCGCGUCCGGUCCUCGAGCGUAUGGGGCUUUGUCACCCGCUCUUGCAGGCCCGGCCGGCGCCAGCCGACCCCCUCAAUCUAUUUUUUCAGGUUGACCUCGGAUCAGGUAGGGAUACCCGCUGAACUUAAGCAUAUCAAUAAGCGGAGGAAAAGAAACCAACCGGGAUUGCCCUAGUAACGGCGAGUGAAGCGGCAAGAGCUCAAAUUUGAAAGCUGGCUCCUUCGGGGUCCGCAUUGUAAUUUGCAGAGGAUGCUUCGGGAGCGGUCCCCAUCUAAGUGCC